GAUGAACGCUGGCGGCGUGCCUAAUACAUGCAAGUCGAGCGAACAGACGAGGAGCUUGCUCCUCUGACGUUAGCGGCGGACGGGUGAGUAACACGUGGAUAACCUACCUAUAAGACUGGGAUAACUUCGGGAAACCGGAGCUAAUACCGGAUAAUAUAUUGAACCGCAUGGUUCAAUAGUGAAAGACGGUUUUGCUGUCACUUAUAGAUGGAUCCGCGCCGCAUUAGCUAGUUGGUAAGGUAACGGCUUACCAAGGCAACGAUGCGUAGCCGACCGGAGAGGGUGAUCGGCCACACUGGAACUGAGACACGGUCCAGACUCCUACGGGAGGCAGCAGUAGGGAAUCUUCCGCAAUGGGCGAAAGCCUGACGGAGCAACGCCGCGUGAGUGAUGAAGGUCUUCGGAUCGUAAAACUCUGUUAUUAGGGAAGAACUAAUGUGUAAGUAACUAUGCACGUCUUGACGGUACCUAAUCAGAAAGCCACGGCUAACUACGUG
rnacentral:rRNA from 1 species